CCUACGGGAGGCUGCAGUGGGGAAUAUUGGACAAUGGGGGCAACCCUGAUCCAGCCAUGCCGCGUGUGUGAAGAAGGCCCUCGGGUUGUAAAGCACUUUCAGUGAGGAAGAACGCCUGGUGGUUAAUACCCAUCAGGAAAGACAUCACUCACAGAAGAAGCACCGGCUAACUCCGUGCCAGCAGCCGCGGUAAUACGGAGGGUGCGAGCGUUAAUCGGAAUUACUGGGCGUAAAGCGCGCGUAGGUGGCUUGAUAAGCCGGUUGUGAAAGCCCCGGGCUCAACCUGGGAACGGCAUCCGGAACUGUCAAGUUAGAGUGCAGGAGAGGAAGGUAGAAUUCCCGGUGUAGCGGUGAAAUGCGUAGAGAUCGGGAGGAAUACCAGUGGCGAAGGCGGCCUUCUGGACUGACACUGACACUGAGGUGCGAAAGCGUGGGUAGCAAACAGGAUUAGAUACCCGUGUAGUC
rnacentral:rRNA from 1 species